rfam:Gossypium hirsutum cultivar TM-1 chromosome 17, whole genome shotgun sequence
AUCUCAUGAUGAGGACAAUUCUGAAGUAAUUCCUUGAAUAUUUCCCAGGCCUCAUAUAAAGACUCAUCAUCCAAUUGUUGAAAAGUAGUUAUCUCAUCUCGUAACUU